AGAUAGCCAUGCAUGUCUAAGUAUAAGCAACUAUACGGUGAAACUGCGAAUGGCUCAUUAAAUCAGUUAUCGUUUAUUUGAUAGUACCUUACUACUUGGAUAACCGUGGUAAUUCUAGAGCUAAUACAUGCUAAAAACCCCAACUUCGGAAGGGGUGUAUUUAUUAGAUAAAAAACCAACGCCCUUCGGGGCUCCUUGGUGAUUCAUAAUAACUAAACGAAUCGCAUGGCCUUGCGCCGGCGAUGGUUCAUUCAAAUUUCUGCCCUAUCAACUUUCGAUGGUAGGAUAGUGGCCUACCAUGGUAUCAACGGGUAACGGGGAAUUAGGGUUCUAUUCCGGAGAGGGAGCCUGAGAAACGGCUACCACAUCCAAGGAAGGCAGCAGGCGCGCAAAUUACCCAAUCCCGACACGGGGAGGUAGUGACAAUAAAUACUGAUACAGGGCUCUUUUGGGUCUUGUAAUUGGAAUGAGUACAAUUUAAAUCCCUUAACGAGGAACAAUUGGAGGGCAAGUCUGGUGCCAGCAGCCGCGGUAAUUCCAGCUCCAAUAGCGUAUAUUAAAGUUGUUGCAGUUAAAAAGCUCGUAGUUGAACCUUGGGCCUGGCUGGCCGGUCCGCCUCACCGCGUGUACUGGUCCGGCCGGGCCUUUCCUUCUGGGGAGCCGCAUGCCCUUCACUGGGCGUGUCGGGGAACCAGGACUUUUACUUUGAAAAAAUUAGAGUGUUCAAAGCAGGCCUUUGCUCGAAUACAUUAGCAUGGAAUAAUAGAAUAGGACGUGCGGUUCUAUUUUGUUGGUUUCUAGGACCGCCGUAAUGAUUAAUAGGGAUAGUCGGGGGCAUCAGUAUUCAAUUGUCAGAGGUGAAAUUCUUGGAUUUAUUGAAGACUAACUACUGCGAAAGCAUUUGCCAAGGAUGUUUUCAUUAAUCAGUGAACGAAAGUUAGGGGAUCGAAGACGAUCAGAUACCGUCGUAGUCUUAACCAUAAACUAUGCCGACUAGGGAUCGGGCGAUGUUAUCAUUUUGACUCGCUCGGCACCUUACGAGAAAUCAAAGUCUUUGGGUUCUGGGGGGAUAUGGUCGCAAGUGA
rnacentral:rRNA from 1 species